AUGCACGCUGGCGGCGUGCCUCAUACAUGCCAGUCGCGCGAACAGACGAGGAGCUUGCUCCUCUGACGUUAGCGGCGGACGGGUGAGUAACACGUGGAUAACCUACCUAUAAGACUGGGAUAACUUCGGGAAACCGGAGCUAAUACCGGAUAAUAUAUUGAACCGCAUGGUUCCAUAGUGAAAGACGGUUUUGCUGUCACUUAUAGAUGGAUCCGCGCCGCAUUAGCUAGUUGGUAAGGUAACGGCUUACCAAGGCAACGAUGCGUAGCCGACCUGAGAGGGUGAUCGGCCACACUGGAACUGAGACACGGUCCAGACUCCUACGGGAGGCAGCAGUAGGGAAUCUUCCGCAAUGGGCGAAAGCCUGACGGAGCAACGCCGCGUGAGUGAUGAAGGUCUUCGGAUCGUAAAACUCUGUUAUUAGGGAAGAACAAAUGUGUAAGUAACUAUGCACGUCUUGACGGUACCUAAUCAGAAAGCCACGGCUAACUACGUG
rnacentral:rRNA from 1 species